rnacentral:tRNA from 1 species
CAAGAGGUAGUUUAAUUAGAAUAUCAGCUUUGGGUGUUGAUGGUGGGGCGUAGGCUCUUCUCUUGA